GUUUUUUUUUUUUCUUUCCCGUUUUUUUCGCCCCCCCUCUUUCAGUUUUGAUCCAAAGAUAGAAAUCUUAGCAAGAAGAACACCCGGGCAGCUUUUUUGCAGGAAGAACACGAAGGUGCAAUACGAGAGCUGCAGCGGGGAGCCUUUGGCAGGUGGCGGUGACGCACAGAAGUUACUUUGCCUUCGGGAAGCAAAAAAGCCCUGUCUGCUGUUUCUGUAGGUGUAUUUUUGUUAUCUCCCUUCUCCCGCAAGAAGUUGCCGGGGCCGCGCAGCAGCGGGAAGCGGCGGCGGCUCGCCCUGGGCGGCAGCAGAUUAUGGUGGCAGCGCAGCGGGAGGAGCGGCGGCGGCGGCGGUAGCAGCAGCCCCGAUUCGCGAAUGCGUUUUGCAUUUACGGUCGUCGCUGGCAAGUGCCACCUGAAGCUUCGGCAGCUGGGCAAGGACCGCUAACGUUUUAAAGGGGAAAACCCCGCCGGGGAAGGAGUUAACGGGAGGAGGGGGCAGCGCCAGGUUGUGUGCGUGCUUGUGGGGAGAGGGGAUUGGUUAUCAUGGCGGAUCGGACAGCUCCGAGAUGCCAGCUCCGUCUGGAGUGGGUUUACGGGUACAGGGGUCACCAAUGCCGCAACAACCUGUACUACACGGCGGGCAAAGAGGUAGUCUACUUCGUGGCUGGAGUCGGCGUGGUUUAUAACACCAGAGAGCACAGCCAGAAAUUCUUCCUAGGGCACAACGACGAUAUUAUCAGCCUUGCAGUUCAUCCAGAUAAAACUUUAGUAGCUACAGGGCAGGUUGGAAAGGACCCUUACAUCUGCAUCUGGGAUUCCUACCGUGUACAGACUGUUUCUGUUCUUAAGGAUGCACACACACAUGGAGUCGCCUGCUUAGCUUUUGAUUCAGAUGGCCAGCGUUUAGCUUCAGUGGGACUGGAUGCCAAAAAUACAGUGUGUAUUUGGGACUGGAAGAGAGGAAAACUACUGGCAACAGCUACAGGCCAUUCAGACAGGAUAUUUGAUAUUUCCUGGGAUCAAUAUCAACCGAAUAGAAUUGUCAGCUGUGGAGUAAAACACAUAAAGUUUUGGACACUGUGUGGAAAUGCACUGACAGCAAAAAGAGGAAUAUUUGGUAAAACAGGGGAUCUGCAAACUAUCCUCUGCUUAGCAUGUGCAAAAGAAGAUAUCACGUACUCUGGUGCUUUAAAUGGAGACAUCUAUGUUUGGAAAGGGCUAAACUUAGUUCGCACGAUUCAAGGAGCGCAUAGUGCUGGAAUUUUUAGUAUGUAUGCUUGUGAGGAAGGUUUUGCGACUGGAGGGAGAGAUGGUUGCAUUCGGUUAUGGGACACUGAUUUCAAACCAAUUACUAAAAUUGAUCUCAGGGAAACUGAACAAGGAUACAAAGGUUUGUCCAUCCGAAGUGUCUGUUGGAAAGCAGACAGACUUUUAGCAGGGACACAGGACAGUGAAAUAUUUGAGGUGUUAGUAAGAGAGAGAGAUAAACCCAUGCUGAUUAUGCAGGGACAUUGUGAGGGAGAGCUCUGGGCCUUGGCAGUCCAUCCAAAGAAGCCUUUAGCAGUCACAGGCAGUGAUGAUCGAUCUGUACGAUUAUGGAGUCUUGCUGACCAUGCCUUGAUAGCUCGUUGUAAUAUGGAGGAAGCAGUGCGGAGUGUUUCUUUCAGUCCUGAUGGAUCACAGUUAGCACUUGGAAUGAAAGAUGGCUCCUUUAUUGUUCUUAGAGUAAGAGACAUGACAGAGGUAGUUCAUAUUAAAGACCGAAAAGAAGUAAUCCAUGAAAUGAAAUUUUCACCAGAUGGCUCUUACCUUGCUGUGGGUUCAAACGAUGGUCCAGUGGAUAUCUAUGCGGUUGCUCAGCGAUACAAAAAAAUAGGAGAAUGCAACAAAUCUUCUAGUUUUAUCACUCACAUUGACUGGUCUGUGGAUAGUAAAUUCUUGCAAACCAACGAUGGUGCAGGAGACAGACUGUUCUACAAGAUGCCUUCUGGGAAGCAUCUAACUAGCAAAGAUGAGAUCAAAGGAAUUCAUUGGGCCUCAUGGACCUGUGUGAUAGGAUCUGAAGUAAAUGGUAUUUGGCCAAAAUAUACAAACGUUACAGACGUCAACUCUGUGGAUGGAAACUACAAUAGCUCAGUGUUAGUGACUGGAGAUGAUUUUGGACUGGUUAAGUUGUUCAGAUUUCCAUGCCUAAAGAAAGGAGCUAAAUUUAGAAAAUAUGUUGGCCAUUCAGCACAUGUAACGAAUGUCCGAUGGUCCCAUGACUUUCAGUGGGUUUUAAGUACUGGAGGUGCUGAUCACUCUGUCUUUCAGUGGCGAUUUAUCCCUGAAGGGAUAACAAAUGGCAUCCUCGAAACAGCUCCACAAGAGGGUGGCAUUGAUUCCUACAGUGAAGAGUCAGAUUCAGAUUUAUCUGAUGUGCCAGAGUUAGAUUCUGACAUUGAACAGGAAGCUCAAAUCAACUAUGAUCGCCAGGUUUACAAAGAAGAUCUACCUCAGCUGAAACAACAAAGUAAAGAGAAAAACCAUUCUGUGCCCUUCCUUAAAAGAGAGCGAGCACCUGAGGACAGUUUAAAAUUGCAGUUUAUACAUGGUUACAGGGGCUAUGACUGUCGAAAUAACUUGUUCUACACACAGACUGGAGAAGUAGUGUAUCAUAUUGCUGCUGUAGCUGUUGUAUACAAUAGACAACAACACACUCAAAGGCUGUAUCUUGGUCAUGAUGAUGACAUCCUCAGCCUAUGCAUUCACCCAGUGAAAGACUAUGUUGCUACUGGACAGGUUGGGAGAGAUGCUGCUAUUCAUGUUUGGGACACACAGACACUGAAGUGUUUAUCGUUGCUCAAAGGCCAGCAUCAAAGAGGAGUGUGUGCGCUGGAUUUUUCAGCUGAUGGAAAAUGUUUGGCAUCUGUUGGGCUUGAUGAUAAUCAUGCCAUUGUGUUUUGGGACUGGAAAAAAGGAGAAAAGCUAGCAACAACCAGGGGUCAUAAAGAUAAAAUAUUUGUAGUGAAGUGUAAUCCACAUCAUGUAGACAAAUUAGUCACGGUUGGGAUGAAGCACAUCAAGUUUUGGCAGCAAACAGGUGGAGGCUUUACAUCAAAACGAGGAACAUUUGGAAGUACUGGAAAAUUGGAAACUAUGAUGAGCGUUUCAUAUGGGCGAAUAGAAGAUUUAGUUUUCUCUGGUGCUGCUACUGGAGACAUUUUCAUCUGGAAGGAUACGCUGUUGCUUAAGACAGUGAAAGCUCAUGACGGGCCUGUAUUUGCAAUGCAUGCGUUGGAUAAGGGGUUUGUAACUGGUGGAAAAGAUGGAAUUGUGGCACUUUGGGAUGAUAUGUUUGAAAGAUGUCUGAAGACGUAUGCUAUUAAAAGAGCAGCGCUAUCUUCUAGUUCCAAAGGUUUACUUUUAGAAGACAAUCCCUCUAUUCGAGCCAUCAGUCUAGGACAUGGACAUAUACUAGUGGGAACUAAAAAUGGAGAGAUACUUGAAAUUGAUAAAAGUGGUCCUAUGACUCUACUGGUUCAGGGACAUAUGGAAGGAGAAGUCUGGGGCUUGGCAGCUCAUCCUCUCUUGCCUGUCUGUGCAACAGUGAGUGAUGAUAAAACGCUUCGAAUCUGGGAACUUUCUUCCCAGCACCGCAUGCUGGCAGUGAGGAAACUCAAAAAAGGUGGACGAUGCUGUGCCUUUUCUCCUGAUGGGAAAGCCUUGGCUGUAGGAUUGAAUGAUGGGAGUUUUCUGGUGGUAAAUGCUGACACUGUUGAAGAUAUGGUAUCUUUUCACCACAGAAAGGAAAUGAUCUCAGAUAUAAAGUUUUCACGAGAAUCAGGAAAAUACCUGGCUGUGGCUUCCCAUGAUAAUUUUGUGGAUAUUUACAAUGUGCUUACCAGCAAAAGAGUUGGCAUUUGUAAAGGUGCAUCUAGCUAUAUCACACACAUUGACUGGGAUUCAAGAGGAAAGCUAUUGCAAGUCAAUUCUGGUGCCAAGGAACAACUAUUUUUUGAAGCACCAAGAGGGAAAAGGCAUAUUAUAAGAAUUGCAGAGAUAGAGAAGAUUGAGUGGGACACCUGGACAUGUGUUCUGGGUCCUACUUGUGAAGGAAUUUGGCCUAUGCACAGUGAUGUCACCGUUGUAAACGCAGCAACUCUUACAAAAGAUGGAACACUAUUAGCUACGGGAGAUGACUUCGGUUUUGUGAAGCUUUUUUCAUAUCCAGUAAAGGGCCAACAUGCAAAAUUCAAGAAGUAUGUGGGUCACAGUGCACAGGUAACCAAUGUUCGGUGGUUACACAAUGAUUCUGUGCUGCUGACUGUAGGUGGUGCUGAUACAGCUUUAAUGAUCUGGACCAGAGAAUUUUUGGGCAUUCAGGAGAGUAAGCUGGUUGAUAGUGAAGAAUCAGACACAGAUGCAGAAGAAGAUGGAGGGUAUGAUAGUGAUGUUGCAAGAGAAAAAGCAAUUGACUAUACCACUAAGAUAUACGCAGUAAGCAUCCGAGAAAUGGAAGGGACAAAACCACAUCAACAGCUGAAGGAAGUUUCAGUCGAAGAGAGGCCGCCAGUUAGCAGAGCUGCUCCUCAACCUGAAAAACUGCAAAAGAACAAUAUCAACAAAAAAAAGAAACUGGUUGAGGAGCUGGCUUUAGACCAUGUUUUUGGAUACAGAGGAUUUGAUUGUCGCAACAACCUUCAUUACCUAAAUGAUGGUGCUGAUAUUAUUUUCCACACAGCUGCAGCAGGCAUAGUUCAAAAUCUUUCUACUGGUAGUCAGAGUUUCUACCUGGAGCAUACUGAUGACAUUCUCUGCCUAACUGUGAAUCAGCACCCAAAGUAUAAAAAUAUUGUGGCAACCAGCCAGAUCGGUGAUAUGACAGAAUUUACAGGUACAACUCCCACAAUUCAUAUAUGGGAUGCUAUGAGUAAGCAAACAAUUUCAAUGCUACGUUGCUUCCAUACCAAAGGAGUCAACUAUGUCAACUUCAGUGCAACUGGCAAACUUCUGGUUUCAGUGGGAGUUGAUCCAGAACAUACUAUCACAGUGUGGAGGUGGCAAGAAGGGGCUAAAGUUGCUAGCAGGGGAGGACACCUGGAGAGGAUAUUUGUUGUAGAGUUCCGCCCAGAUUCAGACACUCAGUUUGUGUCUGUUGGAGUAAAACACAUGAAGUUCUGGACAUUAGCUGGCAGUGCUUUGCUUUACAAGAAAGGAGUCAUUGGUUCCAUGGAAGAUGCCAAAAUGCAAACCAUGCUUUCUGUUGCCUUCGGAGCAAAUAACCUUACAUUUACUGGUGCCAUAAAUGGAGAUGUCUACGUCUGGAAGGAUCAUUUUCUGAUUAGACUUGUGGCAAAAGCUCACACAGGGCCAGUGUUUACAAUGUACACAACUCUUCGGGAUGGACUCAUUGUUACAGGAGGCAAGGAAAGACCCACUAAAGAAGGGGGAGCUGUAAAGCUAUGGGAUCAAGAAAUGAAACGGUGCCGAGCAUUUCAGCUUGAGACAGGACAGCUCAUAGAGUGUGUGCGCUCCGUCUGUAGAGGAAAAGGGAAAAUUUUAGUGGGAACGAAAGAUGGAGAAAUCCUUGAAGUAGGGGAAAAAAAUGCUGCUUCAAACUUGUUAAUUGAUUGUCACAUGGAAGGGGAAAUUUGGGGCUUAGCAACUCACCCCUCAAAAGACAUAUUUAUCUCUGCAAGUAAUGAUGGAACAGCAAGAAUCUGGGACCUGUGUGACAAAAAACUGCUGAACAAAGUCAAUCUAGGCCAUCCAGCUAGAUGUGCUGCGUAUAGUCCUGAUGGUGAGAUGGUUGCAAUCGGCAUGAAGAAUGGAGAAUUUGUUAUUUUACUUGUUAACAGCCUUAAGGUUUGGGGCAAAAAGCGAGACAGGAAGUCUGCAAUUCAGGAUAUUAGGAUCAGCCCGGAUAACAGGUUUUUGGCUGUGGGUUCACAAGAACAUACUGUAGAUUUUUAUGAUCUCACUCAAGGUACAACCCUAAACCGAAUAGGCUACUGCAAAGACAUUGCAAGCUUUGUCAUCCAGAUGGAUUUUUCUGCAGACAGCAAGUACAUACAGGUAUCAACUGGUGCCUAUAAGCGUCAAGUUCAUGAGGUACCACUAGGAAAGCAAAUAACGGAUCCUGCCAUGAUAGAGAAGAUUACAUGGGCCACGUGGACAAGCAUUCUUGGAGACGAAGUCAUUGGAAUUUGGCCGCGAAAUGCAGAUAAAGCAGAUGUCAAUUGUGCGUGUGUGACCCAUGCUGGCCUAAAUAUAGUCACAGGCGAUGAUUUUGGUCUGGUGAAACUGUUUGAUUUCCCAUGCACAGAAAAAUUUGCCAAACACAAGCGGUAUUUUGGGCAUUCUGCGCAUGUUACCAACAUCCGCUUUUCUCAUGAUGACAAGUAUGUGAUAAGUACAGGAGGAGAUGACUGCAGGUAGCUGCUUAUUUAUUUUUAUGGUGAUGGGAUUGAUGAAAAAAUUUGUUGUGUAACUUCCUGUGCCAAACGCACAGCAAUGCAAGUACCACGUUUCUUGGCUCACUCUGUAUUCAUUGGUACCUGCUGAAGCGUGAACUUUGCUUUUCUUACUCUUGCACUGCUGUAUUUUAUGCUUACUUGUACCUGAUUUGCUCCUGCUACCUUGGCCAUACUCAUAAGGCCAUCGGGUAAUCAUGCAGUCAGGUAUCUGUGCCUUCAGUUUAUGUCACCAGAGCACCCAGCAUCUGCUUCUAGGUCCUUUGUCUUGCCUUCCUCCUGGAGAGAGGCCAGACCAGGCCGAUCUUGCCUAUUGCUGCACGGCCUGCAAGGAACACGGAGCCUUUGAGUGACAAGAGUGUAUUUGUAUGGCGAUGUCUUUGAAAGACAACUUUUCCUGCUGUUACUGCAACCACCAAGUGACAGCUCUGGACUGGACAGCCAUGAAUGCCUCUACCCUCAGCCGCUGGAAGUUUCCACAUGCUGCUGUGUGGAUUACGCCUUUUUGGAUUACUCGUGACUUUACUGACCAUGAAUGCGAUCGUGCGAUGUGAAGACCAACAUCCUUGAGCAGGAAGCUGAAGUUUGAAAGCGACAUGUUUUGUAAGAGGGGUAAGCUAAAGUGAACAGUUAACACCCUAAGCUGCUUUUGCCUAAUACUGUAUUAUUCAAAUCACAUCUGAAAAGGGAGGACACAGAGGGCCCUUUAAUUUGCAUAAUUUCAAAAUUUAAACAUUCACUCAAAAAAGUGUUUUUACUAUACCUGCUUAAAACUCAAAUUUAGUGCACUAAGUCACAAGCUUUUAAUGAGCACGCUGGGUUCAUGCUUCAGCUUUCAGGAAUUGGAGGAGCAAAGUAUAAUUUUUGUUUCAAUGUAUUUAUUUGGCAAAAUUUUCUAUCCAUGAAGUGCCUUUGAACAAUAUUUCCAGUAGUCUGGGCUACAAUCUUGCCUCCCACCAAUGUCUGUUUUCAACAUAUGGUGCUAUAACUUUCACACAGAGGAGGGCUAACACCAACACUUUUCCAGACAUGUACUUACGUUAUCCGCUAAAUCCCUUUUUAGUGCUUUGGUUUUUAAUACCUUCAGAAAUGAAUUCCAAAAUGUUUCCAAGAGCAGGAACCUAUGCAUCAUUAUGAGGACAAAACUGGUGGUGUGACAUCUCUUGGUAAGCUAUACUCAAUCGGUUCAGAUGGUAGAUGGGCUGCAGCCAGAAUUUGAGGCUUAACUCAAAGUGGGGACAGGAGUGGGGGAAGUAGAAAGAUUUUUUUUAACACAAAUAAUGAGGAAGUUGUUCCCUAAGUGUUCCUGCAAUCUCCCUGUUGGCAGGAAAACAUGCUUCAUAUUUAACUGCCAUCCCAAGCAGUGACCAUCUAGUGCAUUAAAGUAUUUUGAAAGCCACCAGGAAUCCUUGUUUCCCAUUAUGCCCUCUGGAGAGAGAGAGACAAAUGAGAGAAACCAAUGAGGGCUGUGACCCCUUCAGUGGGCAGCUAGGCCCAUGCUAUUUAGACAUAGAAAAUAAAUAACUCUGGUACCUGGCAGUUUACCUAUCCCGGAGAAAAGCAAAAUCUUUGCUAAAUUUGAACUCCUCUCCCCAUCCUUGCUUCUCUUGCACCGUGUGCAGCCCUCUGCUCUGUGACUAGGCUGUGGGAUCAUGGGGCAGGAGGGCAGCAGGCAGCUGAAAUGAAAUAUGAGAUCUCUCCACUUGAAAGUGGAGACUAUGAGCAGAUGUUCACAAAAAGCAAGAAGAGCUCUUCAGCAGUUGUUACUGAACUUCUUAGAAAACCAAAAAUGAUAGGGGACAGUGGAAUUGGAGAAAGAAAAAGUUCAAAUUUUCAAAUGAAAUCUUAGAAAGGAACAGAAAACAUGGGCAGUUUCAAAAGAUUUCGGAGAGUUCUGAUGUGGAAUACCUCCGUAUUUUGGAACGACCUUCCUUUUAAACAGACCGGUUUUAAUCAAAAGAAAUAAAGGCCAAAAUAGAACAUUUUGACUUAUAUGUAGUAUUUGAAAAGAGAUACUGAAUUGUGGUUUAGUCCCAGUUCAGUUCAGAUUAAUAGAAUGAUUAAUUGUGGAACCAUCCUGCCAAACCACUUCUGAUUCCCACUACGUAAGUGAGACAAUAGCUGUUAGACAUAAAAAUGUCAUAUCAUAAAAAUGACAAAUGAAACAACUAUCCAAUUAAAGGAGUGGAUCCAUGUAUAUUUAACACACAAAAGUGCUUCAGCAACCUCCAAGAAUCACCUUUUUUUAAAAGUGAAUUUAUUAAUGCCUUAUAUUACUAUACAGAUCAGUUUGUCAGAUACACAAUAAGAGUCCCUAUGCAGUUUUUUUUUUUAAAUAAACCUUAUUGAUCAAAUAUUGUAAUCAUGUUAGGUGGUGAUGUCAGUGAGCACCUUCUUUGCUUAUGUUGUCAUGUUUGCCUUUCACAUUGAUUGUAUCCUGAAUAAAACCAGUUGCACAGCAGAAGGAAUUAUUAAAUGGCUAUGUUAAAAAUAUCUUAGAGCAAUAGCGUCUGUCAGGAUAACACUUAAAAAUUUGUAUGUUUAUAUGGUUUGGCUUUAUGUAUAAAAUGUUCAGAAGUGAUGAUGUACUAUACUGUAAAUUAAAAUAUUAGUGCAUGAAUUUAUUUUUCAAUGGUCAAGAUGCCAUUAAUUUAAAAUCUGUGUCUCAAAUAAACUCGGAUACAAGUUUUCAAUGUCCAGCUUUCUAAAUCAGGCUCGAAAACAUCUGAAAAAUUAUUGGACUCGCUUAACAAUUUCCUUCAAACUAGUACAUUACUGUCUUCAACAUAAAAGAAGCCAAGGAUAUUUACUUCUUUUAGCAGAAUCUAAAAUUUCAUCUUUUUCAAGAACAAUUUUCAACCACCAACCAACUCACAAGACUGACAGUCACCCACGUCACUGAGCUGUCAGUGCAGCUGGCCAUGGUAACAACAGUGGCCUUCAGUAUUCAGCAUCGAGGCCUCCUCACUGCAGGAAAGCAUCUGCUCUACGAGAACUACGCGCCAAACUGAGCAUCACCCACCAACACAGCUAUUCAGGACAUCAGAUCUGUAACUAGAACUGAACAAACUGCUUCACGCUGCACAAAAGGUAUCAUGAAAAAUCCAUCUACUCACAUUGCUAUAAAUCUGACAAACUACUUCUACCACCAUGUACAAUGGAUAUUUAAUCACGAUGAACUUAAAAUAAACACAAAUAUAUUAAACUUACCUCAAGAAAGCAAAAUACCGAUAUUAUUUUAAGUCUAUAAGCUUUAUUGAUACUUGGGGUUUUGUUUUUUUUUUCUUUUUUGUUUGUUUUUUUUUUUUUACAUUUCACAAUGCAUUCCACAGACUUAGUUCAAUACAGCUUAAACUGCAAGUGUAUAAAUUUUCAUUUAUAAUUUCUUGCAUAACAAGGUUUUAAGUUU